rnacentral:rRNA from 1 species
GAUGAACGCUGGCGGCAGGCCUAACACAUGCAAGUCGAACGAGUGGCGGACGGGUGAGUAAUGUCUGGGAAACUGCCUGAUUGAGGGGGAUAUCUACUGGAAACGGUAGCUAAUACCGCAUACUAUCGGAUGUGCCCAUAUGGGAUUAGCUAGUAGGUGGGGUAACGGCUCACCUAGGCGACGAUCCCUAGCUGGUCUGAGAGGAUGAACAGCCACACUGGAACUGAGACACGGUCCAGACUCCUACGGGAGGCAGCAGUGGGGAAUAUUGCACAAUGGGCGCAAGCCUGAUGCAGCCAUGCCGCGUGUAUGAAGAAGGCCUUAGGGUUGUAAAGUACUUUCAGCGGGGAGGCGUUACCCGCAGAAGAAGCACCGGCUAACUCCGUGCCAGCCGCCGCGGUAAUAC